CCUACGGGAGGCAGCAGUGAGGAAUAUUGGUCAAUGGACGCAAGUCUGAACCAGCCAUGCCGCGUGCAGGAUGACGGCUCUAUGAGUUGUAAACUGCUUUUGUACGGGGGUAAACCCCGAUACGUGUAUCGGGUUGAAAGUAUCGUACGAAUAAGGAUCGGCUAACUCCGUGCCAGCAGCCGCGGUAAUACGGAGGAUCCGAGCGUUAUCCGGAUGUAUUGGGGUUAAAGGGUGCGUAGGCGGGUUUUUAAGUUAGAGGUGAAAUGUCGGGGCUCAACCCCGGAACUGCCUCUAAAACUGGUGGUCUAGAGGAUAGGUGCGGUAGGCGGAAUGUAUGGUGUAGCGGUGAAAUGCUUAGAGAUCAUACAGAACACCGAUUGCGAAGGCAGCUUACCAAACUAUAUCUGACGUUGAGGCACGAAAGCGUGGGUAGCAAACAGGAUUAGAUACCCUUGUAGUC
rnacentral:rRNA from 1 species